UACGGAGGGUGCGAGCGUUGUCCGGAUUCACUGGGCGUAAAGGGCGCGUAGGCGGUUUAGUCAGUCGGGCGUGAAAGGGCGAGGCUUAACCUCGUCUUGGCGUCCGGGACGGCUGAACUGGAGGGCGGUCGAGGGGUGUGGAAGUCCGGGUGUAGUGGUGAAAUGCGUAGAUAUCCGGAGGAACACCAGUGGUGAAGGCGGCACCCUAGGCCGAGCCUGACGCUGAGGCGCGAGAGCGUGGGGAGCGAACCGG
rnacentral:misc_RNA from 1 species